UACAGAGGUGGCAAGCGUUGUUCGGAAUUACUGGGCGUAAAGGGCGCGUAGGCGGCCUUCUAAGUCGGACGUGAAAGCCCCAGGCUUAACCUGGGAACUGCGUCCGAUACUGGGAGGCUUGGAUUCGGGAGAGGGAUGUGGAAUUCCAGGUGUAGCGGUGAAAUGCGUAGAUAUCUGGAGGAACACCGGUGGCGAAGGCGGCAUCCUGGACCGACAUCGACGCUGAGGCGCGAAAGCGUGGGGAGCAAACAGG
rnacentral:rRNA from 1 species